GGCUGAGUGGUGGAAUGGCAGACACACAGGACUUAAAAUCCUGUGGGAGGAAACUCCCGUGCGGGUUCGAGUCCCGCCUCAGCUA
rnacentral:tRNA from 1 species